rnacentral:rRNA from 1 species
UACGAAGGGGGCGAGCGUUGUUCGGAUUUACUGGGCGUAAAGGGCGCGCAGGCGGUUCUGUUUGUCGAGUGUGAAAGCCCCGGGCUCAACCUGGGAACUGCGCUCGAAACGGCGGAACUAGAGUUCGGGAGAGGAGAGUGGAAUUCCCAGUGUAGCAGUGAAAUGCGUAGAGAUGUGGAGGAAUACCGAUGGCGAAGGCAGCCCCCUGGGCCAAUACUGACGCUCAUGCACGAAAGCGUGGGGAGCAAACAGG